rnacentral:lncRNA from 1 species
UCUCCUUUCAAUUUUUGCGUAGACAAUGUGGACUUUUGUAAAAAAAAAUUGUUUUCUUUUUCAGGAAUUGAAGACUAGUUUUAGACAUUUAGAUGAUUUUUUUAAAGGCAUGAAUGUUGUCAGUUAAUGAUCGUGCUUGUCGACAGUCGUAACUAAUUUCAAAUACGAAUCUAUCGGGAAUUUUAGACACUAAUUGUUAGCGAGAAUCAUACGGAAACUGCAUGAAUAAUCGCAUGUCUGAGACGAUGUUGCGACCUUGACAUUGUGAACAGCACCGUGGCCUUUUGGCUGUAAGCAGAGAAUGGCUAAUGGCAGGAGCAUGAGUGUGACAGGCAGCAGUUAACGUGUGACAGGAAUCGACCAUGAGUUGGCAAGUGUACGUGACAGACCAGUUGUUGACGCCAGGCGACAUGUGUAGUGCUGGCAUUUAUGGCGUUGAUGGGGGCGAGUGGGCCGGGGAAGGUUGUAUAAGACCGCAACCACAAGAAGUCACAAGACUGAUCAACAUUAUCUCGGGAAAAGAGAGUGACUUUAACGGAAUCAAAAUAGGUGGGAUCAGUUUUCUGUACGUCACUCAUGAUGCGCAGGAAGGUUCAAUUAUCUUGAAUCGAAUCGGAGCUCCAUCUGACAAGGAGAAAUAUGUAUGCUGCGGAUACCUGGCCAAGGGCUGUUUUGUGUAUGGCGCAGUGGUCGGAAACUACAGAAUGGGAAAUUGCAGUAAAGUUUCAUGUCGGCUUAGGGACUACCUAAAGCAAGUUGGAUACUAGCAUAGACAGAAAUCUAGUCAAUAUAAUAUUAGGUGCUAUCCAAUUUUAUUCAUGUGAAAUUCAUUUGGACAAAAAGUUCAUAAUCGCAAGUAAAGGGAAGCAACUGAUACUAGUGUAAUUUAUGUGCUUUACAUGUGUUACAGUCCUUGACCUUUACAAUGAAUGAAAUGGUUGUGUUUUUUGUUUUUAUCUAUAUUAGAUUUUAUACAUUUGCAGAUUUUUUGUACAGAAGUGACUUAUGCUAGUGAAUUGAUGUGAAAGGAAUUUUAUCAGACAAAACUGAGAAAGUUUCCAAGCAGAAUAAACAAGCAGGUAUUUAAAUCCUGCAUAAAGUGUUUUUGAUGAUACUGAAUAAAUGUAGCCGAAAUGUUGAAUGUAGUGAAUGACAACCUAUGAUUAUGUUGUAAAUGUCAAAAACUGUAAUCUCUACCAUAAUGUAUAGUGCAGGUUGCUUUGCUUACUAUAACCAGUACAGGCUUUCUAUAUUUCAAAAUUACUAAACCUAUCAUAUCUAUUGUGCCAGGAACGACAUUGUAUUUUAAGUGUCAGUGUCAGACGAAAUGAUUGAAAAUACAAUUAGUUUUAAAAAAGUACGAAAACUAACAACUUACGAGGGUUGAAAACUGAAAUUAACUAAGGAAGGACUCUGUAGGAAGGUGAGGAGGAGAAAGAAUUGUAAUUACAACUAUUUGUCAGUGUGUAGAUAAAGAGUUUGAUAGUAUAGAGGUAAUAUACCAUCUUUUAAGCUUUCUUGGCAGAGGAAUACGGGUUAACUGACUGACGCAAUUACGAAUGAUUUGCCCGAGGGUACAAGUUUUCUGUUUCAUGUGCCAAACCUAUAUUGCUUUAUUAUUGUUUUUAUAGAAAUGUGCCAAAUUUGUUAUACACUGCUUCAGUCUGGAUAUAUAAAUAGCAGAGGUGUCAUGGAAUGCACACAGAAUGAAGACAACUCUUGAGUUGUUUAUUUUUGGCAUGUCUAGUUCAAGGAAUAGGUAUUUUUUGCUGGACUACAGCUUCAGAAUGGAAAGAAAAAACACCAUGCAAGACAAUGCAGAAUAGGAAAAACUUGAUAAAAAUGAUCCUGAGAUUUUAUUUGAUAUGUGACCAGUUCAUUAUAGAAUUAUUAAUUUUUUUGAAAUAAUGAAAAUUAUGUCUAUCGUAAUACCAUUUGGUACUCUAUUCUCAAAUCUGACUGGAGCACUUUGUUUGUACAUUGUAAUUGUAUUUUUCUGUUGUUUUUUGUGUUUUGUUUGUUUGUUUUUUUUCUCAGAAGUGUGCCAAAUUAUGUUUACUUGUAAUGACUAUUGUCUACAGAAAUGUGCCAAAUACCGACCUAGAAUGGUAAAAUAAAAGAACUGUUGUAGUUUGUAGUGUUCAUAUGAUAAAUUCACUAGUUAUGCUUUCAUUGGUUCAAAUACAUUGUGAACUUUGUCAUUUUAAUGUCAUAGAAAUGCAAUAAAAUAUACAAAAAUGA